rnacentral:lncRNA from 1 species
CCAACGAUACCUAACAGUAUGUAAUGGCAACCUACUAGAACUGAAAUAAAUUUUUAGGUGUAGUUAAUGUAUGAUUUGAUCUCUCUAUCAUGAGUCUCGACUAGAGGACAGGUCAUGGAUAAAUCAUCAGACCUCAAUAUCAGUCAUAUGAUAGAUUCGAUUAGCUCAAGUCCAGUUGUGACUUCUACGUAAAAUCUUUUCCAUCA